AGUCUGGCUUUGACAUUACAAAGCUCCUGUCAGCAAAGAAAAAACUGGAAGCCAAAAAGCAGAGACACGAGAAAAAAGAAGCCAAGAGAGUCAAAAAAGAGCUCAAGAAGAAUGGGGUAGACGUGAACAGGGAGCCAAACAUGGAGGAGCAGAACCAUGUGUCUGUCAUUGAAGUAGAUGCUGAGCGGGACCCCUCACUCCCAAGAGCCAUUGUUCUCGACCUUGGCCCUGUCAACUUCCUGGACACCGUGGGGGUCAAGACACUACGAAGUAUUCGGAGAGACUACGGAGAAAUUGGAGUGGAGGUGUUUCUUGCUGGUUGCCAAAG